rnacentral:rRNA from 1 species
AGCGGCAGACGGGAGAGUAACACGUGGGAACGUGCCCUUCAGUUCGGAACAACCCAGGGAAACUUGGGCUAAUACCGGAUACGUCCGUAAGGAGAAAGAUUUAUCGCUGAAGGAUCGGCCCGCGUCUGAUUAGCUAGUUGGUGAGGUAACGGCUCACCAAGGCUACGAUCAGUAGCUGGUCUGAGAGGAUGAUCAGCCUCACUGGGACUGAGACACGGCCCAGACUCCUACGGGAGGCAGCAGUGGGGAAUAUUGGACAAUGGGCGCAAGCCUGAUCCAGCCAUGCCGCGUGGGUGAUGAAGGCCCUAGGGUUGUAAAGCCCUUUCGGCGGGGAAGAUAAUGACGGUACCCGCAAAAGAAGCCCCGGCUAACUUCGUGCCAGCAGCCGCGGUAAUACGAAGGGGGCUAGCGUUGCUCGAAUCACUGGGCGUAAAAGCGCACUUAGGCGGCUUUUUAAGUCAGGGGUGAAAUCCUGGAAGCUCCAAUUCCAAAACUUCCUU